rnacentral:rRNA from 1 species
AGUGAACGCUGGCGGUAGGCCUAACACAUGCAAGUCGAACGGCAGCACAGUAAGAGCUUGCUCUUACGGGUGGCGAGUGGCGGACGGGUGAGGAAUACAUCGGAAUCUACUUUUUCGUGGGGGAUAACGUAGGGAAACUUACGCUAAUACCGCAUACGACCUACGGGUGAAAGCAGGGGAUCUUCGGACCCUGCGCGAUUGAAUGAGCCGAUGUCGGAUUAGCUAGUUGGCGGGGUAAAGGCCCACCAAGGCGACGAUCCGUAGCUGGUCUGAGAGGAUGAUCAGCCACACUGGAACUGAGACACGGUCCAGACUCCUGCGGGAGGCAGCAGUGGGGAAUAUUGGACAAUGGGCGCAAGCCUGAUCCAGCCAUACCGCGUGGGUGAAGAAGGCCUUCGGGUUGUAAAGCCCUUUUGUUGGGAAAGAAAAGCAGCAGGUUAAUACCCCGCUGUUCUGACGGUACCCAAAGAAUAAGCACCGGCUAACUUCGUG